GACACACACAGACACAAAAUCACACACUCCCCCUCCCCGCCACAGAGACACACCAUUAGAUACACAGACACACAGAGACACAAAAUCACAAACACCCCCUCCCCACCACAGAGACACACGGACACACACAGACACAAAAUCACACACACCCCCUCCCCGCCACAGAGACACACCAUUACAUACGUACACACAGAAAGACACAGACACACAAUCACACACACCCUCUCCCUGUCACAGAAACACACCAUUACAUACACAGACACUGAAAGGCACGCACAGACAGAAUCACACACAUUCCCUCCCCACCACAGAGACACACUGUUACAUACACAGAUACACAAUCACACACCCCCUCCCUGCCACAGAGACACACCAUUACAUACACAGACACACAUGGAAAGACACACAAAAUCACACACACCCUCUCCCUCUCACAGAGACAAACCAUUACACACACAGACACACAAUCACCCAUACCCCCUUUCCGCCACAGAGACACACCAUUACACACACAUACACACACACAGACACACAAUCACACACCCCCUCCCCACCACAGAGACAAACCAUUACACACACACACAAAAAGACACAGAGACACACAAUCAUGCACACCCCCUCCCCACCACAGAGACACACAGUUACAUACACAGACAUACACAGAAAGACACACACAGACAAUCACACCCCGUCCCUUCCACAGAGACACACCAUGACACACACAGACAUAGAAAGACACACACAGACACACAAUCGCACACACCUCUUCCUGCCACAUAGAUGCACCAUUACAUACACAGACACACAGACACACACAGAGACACAGACACACAGACAUACACAGAAAGACACACACAGAAAGACAUGCACGCAGGCACACACAGACACAGACACAGAUACAAAGACACACACAUAUAGACAGACAUGCACAGAGACACAUGGAGACAUGCAAAAACGCGCAAAGACAGAAGUGCACAGACAGACACAUAGACGACACAGACACACAGACAUGCAAACACAGACACACAGACAUGCAGACAUGCACACACACAGAUACACAGACAUGCAGACAUGCACACAAACACAGACGCAUGCACACAGACUUAGGCAGCUGGAAUUCAGUGCCUGGGGCAUAAGUUCCUGGAGGGGUGGCCACCUUCAGCCCCCACAGUGAGGUACUGAGGAAGCUUCCCCUUAAACAAGGGAUCAUGGAGGAGGUCUCUUCCGGAGCCUGGAGGAAGGCCUUAAGUGGUCCUUCCACCUCGGCAUCCCAAAGUGCUAGGAUUAUAAGCAUGAGCCACUGCACCUGGCCCCAACAUCAUUUAUUGAAGAGACUAUCGUUUCUCCAUUUUGUUUCUUGGCAUUUCUGUCAAAAAUCAGUUGAAUGUAAAUACAUGGAUUCACUUCUGGGCU
ensembl:lncRNA